rnacentral:rRNA from 1 species
UACGUAGGGGGCAAGCGUUGUCCGGAAUUAUUGGGCGUAAAGAGCUUGUAGGCGGUUUGUCGCGUCUGCUGUGAAAUUUCGGGGCUCAACCCCGAACUUGCAGUGGGUACGGGCAGACUAGAGUGUGGUAGGGGAGACUGGAAUUCCUGGUGUAGCGGUGAAAUGCGCAGAUAUCAGGAGGAACACCGAUGGCGAAGGCGGGUCUCUGGGCCGAUGACUGACGCUGAGGAGCGAAAGCGUGGGGAGCGAACAGG